UACGUAGGGUGCGAGCGUUGUCCGGAAUUAUUGGGCGUAAAGAGCUUGUAGUCGGUCUGUCGCGUCUGCUGUGAAAAUCCGGGGCUCAACCCCGGACUUGCAGUGGGUACGGGCAGACUAGAGUGUGGUAGGGGAGACUGGAAUUCCUGGUGUAGCGGUGAAAUGCGCAGAUAUCAGGAGGAACACCGAUGGCGAAGGCAGGUCUCUGGGCCACUACUGACGCUGAGAAGCGAAAGCAUGGGGAGCGAACAGG
rnacentral:rRNA from 1 species